GAGUUUGAUCAUGGCUCAGGAUGAACGCUGGCGGCGUGCUUAACACAUGCAAGUCGAACGAACCUUCGGGUUAGUGGCGGACGGGUGAGUAACGCGUGGGAAUCUGCCCUCAGGAGGGGGAUAACGGUUGGAAACGGCCGCUAAUACCCCAUAUGCCGAGAGGUGAAAUGAAUUUCGCCUGAGGAUGAGCCCGCGUCUGAUUAGCUAGUUGGUGAGGUAAGAGCUCACCAAGGCAUCGAUCAGUAGCUGGUCUGAGAGGAUGAUCAGCCACACUGGGACUGAGACACGGCCCAGACUCCUACGGGAGGCAGCAGUGGGGAAUUUUCCGCAAUGGGCGAAAGCCUGACGGAGCAACGCUGCGUGAGGGAUGAAGGCCUCUGGGCUGUAAACCUCUUUUAUCAAGGAAGAAGAUCUGACGGUACUUGAUGAAUAAGCCACGGCUAAUUCCGUGCCAGCAGCCGCGGUAAUACGGGAGUGGCAAGCGUUAUCCGGAAUUAUUGGGCGUAAAGCGUCCGCAGGCGGCCCUACAAGUCUGCUGUUAAAAAGUGGAGCUUAACUCCAUCAUGGCAGUGGAAACUGUUGGGCUUGAGUGUGGUAGGGGCAGAGGGAAUUCCCGGUGUAGCGGUGAAAUGCGUAGAUAUCGGGAAGAACACCAGUGGCGAAGGCGCUCUGCUGGGCCAUCACUGACGCUCAUGGACGAAAGCCAGGGGAGCGAAAGGGAUUAGAUACCCCUGUAGUCCUGGCCGUAAACGAUGAACACUAGGUGUCGGGGGAAUCGACCCCUCCGGUGUCGUAGCCAACGCGUUAAGUGUUCCGCCUGGGGAGUACGCACGCAAGUGUGAAACUCAAAGGAAUUGACGGGGGCCCGCACAAGCGGUGGAGUAUGUGGUUUAAUUCGAUGCAACGCGAAGAACCUUACCAGGGUUUGACAUCCUGCGAAUCUCUUGGAAACUUGAGAGUGCCUUCGGGAGCGCAGUGACAGGUGGUGCAUGGCUGUCGUCAGCUCGUGUCGUGAGAUGUUGGGUUAAGUCCCGCAACGAGCGCAACCCACGUCUUUAGUUGCCAGCAUUUAGUUGGGCACUCUAGAGAGACCGCCGGUGAUAAACCGGAGGAAGGUGUGGAUGACGUCAAGUCAUCAUGCCCCUUACAUCCUGGGCUACACACGUACUACAAUGCUACGGACAAAGGGCAGCAAGUUCGCGAGGACAAGCAAAUCCCAUAAACCGUGGCUCAGUUCAGAUCGUAGGCUGCAACUCGCCUACGUGAAGGAGGAAUCGCUAGUAAUCGCAGGUCAGCAUACUGCGGUGAAUACGUUCCCGGGCCUUGUACACACCGCCCGUCACACCAUGGAAGUUGGCCACGCCCGAAGCCGUUACUCCAACCCUUGUGGAGGAGGACGUCGAAGGUGGGGCUGAUGACUGGGGUGAAGUCGUAACAAGGUAACC
rnacentral:rRNA from 1 species